CCCAAAAUAUUGGCAGCGCAAACUUAGGUUUCUAAAAAUAUAUUUUCAUUUCCAUCGUUUUCCCGCCUGCUUCCCUCCUUUUCGUGCUCCUUCUUCCUCAUCCCUGGUUCCCCUCUUUCUCUUUGUUCUCCUUCUUCCUCAUUCUUGCUCCUCCUCUUGUCCAAUUCCUUGGCGGCAACUCUCUUCCUCGGCGCUGCUUCUCUUCCUCGGCGGCAGAGGCUCGGCAGCCAAACACUCUCCAGUCACUGCACACACAUCACCGGGUAUUGUGCUGCUUCUCUUCUACUUCCCUCAACAGCGCCGCUGCUCUUCCUCAACAGAUUGAUUGAAGAGUAUGAAGGCCAGAUAGAUUCGAAGAUGCAUAUCUGUUUAAUCACAAUUCGUUUGGUCUUUCUAUAUAUUUAUUGUUAUUAUGGAUUGUAUGAUGGGUUCUCUCUUCAAUUUUUUUUUCAGCUUUGAUCUUUUUCAAUACUUCCAUAUCUUCUCAUCUUCCUCCAGAGUAAUAAUAUAUUUGCAGAUAAGUAGAAAAGACGAAGAGUCUCAUUUUUUGAAACACCUUGAUGGCUUGCUUAUCUGAGACAAUUAAGAACAAAUACUCGAAGAUCUUCACACAUUUUAUAACCUCUUUCAACCGCUUUAUGAAUUACUUGUUUGUAUUUCUUCUUAUAGUUAAUGAAGUUUGAUAUCAUUUGUAGGUCAUCGUUGCUGCACUCUUCUGUUUCUGUUCUGUUGCUGCUGGUUGUUGUACCCUCGAUGUUGCUACUAUGCAGUUCCUGGAGUGAAGUUCUUGUUCGCUGUAGCCUCCUGGUUUCUUUCUUGUUUAACCUCCUGGUUUCUUUCUUGUUUGUUUCUUGUUUACAAUGAUAAACCCUCCUGAGCAGUUUCUUUCUUGUUAGCGAAAUCACAAUGAUAAACCCUCAUGGUUUCUUUCUUAUUUACCGGAUCCUACUAGUACACAAUUUUGAGAGAAUUGAGGGACUAAAACUUUCUGAGCAGUUUACAAAAGCACCACUUCAGCAGCUGAUGAUGCCUCAACUAAGGGAGAAGAAAGAAACUGUGUGUAUUGUCCUUUAGGGGGAGGAUUUUUACUAUGUGGUUAUAGCCUUAUAGGACUUAUAAUGGAUUAUUCCAUUAGAUAGCAGUCACAAGGACAAGACAAAAUCAAAUAUAAAAUCUAACAGCCAAAAGGAAUCAGGAAAUAAAGAACGAAACCAGGAAAAUCUUAUACAUUCAGGCAGGAUAGAUCCAUCAAGGGUUGUCCAGCUGUCUUGGCAACCGAGGUCAGGGUCUUUGUUUAUAGAGGUUUUAUCACUGAAGAGGAAUGUGACCAUCUCAUCCCUUUGGCACAUGGACAGAAAGAAGGUACUAACUCUGUGAUCAGUGACACCCAAGGAGUGAGUGCAAGAUCAUUAGUCACUCUAGAUCUGAAGAUGAAUUCGUUGCAACAUGGACUCUUCUUCUUCUAGAGAAUAGUAGGUCACUACAAGUUCUGCAUUAUGGGAAUGAAGAAUCAGAACAUAAAUAUGACUAUUUUGGGAAUCAAUUGGCUUGACAUGUUACUGAACCUUUGAUGGCAACUGUCAUUUUUUUUUUUCAGAUGUUUCUCGGGGUGGUGAGAUCUCAUUUCCUGAGUCACAGGUACGUAAAAAUCCGAGGGAGGAGCCUUUCAGGAUUGAAGAGAUAAAUGAUGUUCGAGAUUGUCUUUGAUAUUUUCUUGUAGUGAAUUUUAGUAUUGUCUUUGAUAUUUCCUUGUAAUAAAUUUUAGGUUAUGGAUGCUAGUUUUUUUAUGAUUGUAUUGUAAUCGAGUUUUUUACUGUACAAUUUAAUUAUCUAUAUAAUUGAGUAAUGUUUUAUAUUA